rnacentral:rRNA from 1 species
AUUGAACGCUGGCGGCAGGCCUAACACAUGCAAGUCGAACGUGUGGCGGACGGGUGAGUAAUGUCUGGGAAACUGCCCGACGGAGGGGGAUAACUACUGGAAACGGCAGCUAAUAACGCAUACCAUCGGAUGUGCCCAGAUGGGAUUAGCUUGUGGGUGAGGUAACGUCUCACCUAGGCGACGAUCCGUAGCUGGCCUGCGAGGAUGACCAGCCACACUGGAACUGAGAAACGGUCCAGACUCCUACGGGAGGCAGAAGUGGGAAAUAUUGCACAAUGGGCGAAAGCCUGCUCCAGCCAUGCCGCGUGUGUGAAGAGGGUCUUCGGAUUGAAAAGCCCUUUAAGUUGGGAGACGUUACCAACAGAAUAAGCAACGGCGAACUUCGUGCCAGCAGCCGCGGUAAUUC